rnacentral:sRNA from 1 species
AAUAAUUAAUUUAACAGAUGGUGGUGUGAACAAAAUAAUGGUGGUGUGAACACAACUUUGUGGAAUCCGUAAAAGAAUUUAAA